rnacentral:rRNA from 1 species
UACGUAGGCAGCAAGCGUUGUUCGGAAUUACUGGGCGUAAAGAGUGUGUAGGCGGUGCUCUAAGUUUGGUGUGAAAUCUCCCGGCUCAACUGGGAGGGUGCGCCGAAAACUGGAAUGCUUGAACGUGGGAGAGGAAAGCGGAAUUCCUGGUGUAGCGGUGAAAUGCGUAGAUAUCAGGAGGAACACCUGCGGUGUAGACGGCUUUCUGGACCAUUGUUGACGCUGAGACACGAAAGCUAGGGGAGCAAACAGG